rnacentral:rRNA from 1 species
AGUUACAACAAUAUCACCCUUCAGCCCAAGAUUGGCUACUUACUGAAGCUAAGCAGGGCUGAGCCUAGUCAGUACCUGGAAGAGAGACCACAUGAGAAAACUAGUUGGAAGUGUUGUUAGUG